rnacentral:rRNA from 1 species
GUGAGGAAUAUUGGUCAAUGGUCGCGAGACUGAACCAGCCAAGUAGCGUGCAGGAUGACGGCCCUCUGGGUUGUAAACUGCUUUUAGUUGGGAAUAAAAGGCGGUACGUGUACCGCGUAUUGUAUGUACCAUCAGAAAAAGGACCGGCUAAUUCCGUGCCAGCAGCCGCGGUAAUACGGAAGGUCCAGGCGUUAUCCGGAUUUAUUGGGUUUAAAGGGAGCGUAGGCGGAUUUUUAAGUCAGUUGUGAAAGUUUGAGGCUCAACCUUAAAAUUGCAGUUGAAACUGGAAGUCUUGAGUGCACGCAGAGGUGCCGGAAUUCAUGGUGUAGCGGUGAAAUGCUUAGAUAUCAUGAAGAACUCCGAUCGCGAAGGCAAGUGCCUGGAGUGCUACUGACGCUGAGGCUCGAAAGUGCGGGUAUCAAACAGGAUUAGAAACCCUAGUAGUCC